GUUUCGUACAAACUCAAUUUUAAAAAUGACUUCCUAAUGAGGCAGAUUUUGCUGAGGAAAAGGCACUGGCAAGCAAGAAGCCAGGAAUCAGAUGCUGGCUUGAAUCCAGAGGCUGAUGUGGGCCCAAAACCUGCCUGAAAAAUGGAACAAAGGGAAGACAUUGGCCUAAGAGAACACAAGAGAUGCUGCUAAGGUCAUUUAUAGCUUGUAGAAGACUACAAGUAGUCUCAUUUCAGCCAGGACUGGAUACAGGCCAUGGCUAGGUUUGCUAAGGCGCAUGACAGAUGACCCUUGUGAACCAAUGUUGGAAGAACCUCUCGUUGGGAAGGUGCCAUGGAGAACACUCAGCAUCAAUGCCCUACAAGUUUUCUUUAAUGUCCAGUGUAGCUCAUGUUCAAAAUAGCAAUGGAAAUGUGUGGUGUUUAUUGCAGGCACAUAUGUUUGUGAUCAAGGUAUAGCUCUCAGGGAUGAGAAGCAAAAUGCAGUCAUUUGCUGCUCAGCAUCAUAGCUCUCAUACAUUCAACGAAAUAGCUUUAUUUAUCUUCUUCUGCAUAUAGGACCUUCCAUAUUGCAAAUUUAUUGAAUGGUUAAUGGCCUAAAAGUAU
rnacentral:lncRNA from 1 species